UACAGAGGUCUCAAGCGUUGUUCGGAUUCAUUGGGCGUAAAGGGUGCGUAGGCGGCGCGGUAAGUCGGGUGUGAAAUCUCGGAGCUUAACUCCGAAACUGCAUUCGAUACUGCCGUGCUUGAGGACUGGAGAGGAGACUGGAAUUUACGGUGUAGCGGUGAAAUGCGUAGAUAUCGUAAGGAAGACCAGUGGCGAAGGCGGGUCUCUGGACAGUUCCUGACGCUGAGGCACGAAGGCCAGGGGAGCAAACAGG
rnacentral:rRNA from 1 species